rnacentral:rRNA from 1 species
CACUAUGUAUGGUCGUUAACAUUGAUGGUUUUAUACCUAAAUCAUCCGCCUGGGAACUACGAGCAAUAGCUUAAAACCCAAAGGACUUGGCGGUGCUUUAGACCCCC